rnacentral:rRNA from 1 species
CGCGAAUUCGCCCUUCGGGGUGCAGCAGGCGCGAAAACUUUACAAUGCUGGCAACAGCGAUAAGGGGACCUCGAGUGCCAGGAUACAAUCUUGGCUGUCGCGAUGCCUAAAAAGCAUUGCAUAGCAAGGGCCGGGCAAGACCGGUGCCAGCCGCCGCGGUAACACCGGCGGCUCGAGUGGUAACCGCUAUUAUUGGGUCUAAAGGGUCUGUAGCCGGCCGGAUAAGUCUUUUGGGAAAUCCAGCUGCUCAACAGUUGGGCUUUCAGAAGAUACUGUUCGGCUCGAGACCGGGAGAGGUGAGAGGUACUUCAGGGGUAGGGGUGAAAUCUUGUAAUCCUUGAAGGACCACCAGUGGCGAAGGCGUCUCACCAGAACGGAUCUGACGGCAAGGGACGAAAGCUAGGGGCACGAACCGGAUUAGAUACCCGGGUAGUCCUAGCCGUAAACGAUACUCGCUAGGUGUCAGCCACGGUGCGACCGUGGUUGGUGCCGUAGGGAAGCCGUGAAGCGAGCCACCUGGGAAGUACGGCCGCAAGGCUGAAACUUAGAGGAAUUGGCGGGGGAGCAC